UCGCUGUAGCAAUACAGUGGAAAGUUCAGUGGCGAACGGGUGCGUAACACGUGGGCAAUCUGCCUUAAAGUGUGGGAUAGCUCGGCGAAAGCCGAAUUAAUGCCGCAUGUGGCUACUGGAGACAUCUUCGGGACGCUAAAGGUGGCGCAAGCUACCGCUUUUUGAGGAGCCCGCGGCCUAUCAGCUUGUUGGUGAGGUAACGGCUCACCAAGGCGUUGACGGGUAGCUGGUCUGAGAGGACGACCAGCCACACUGGGACUGAGACACGGCCCAGACACCUACGGGUGGCAGCAGUCGAGAAUUUUUGACAAUGGGGGAAACCCUGAUCGAGCGACGCCGCGUGGAGGAUGAAGGUCUUCGGGUUGUAAACUCCUGUCAUUUGGGAACAAGGCGUAUGUAUUAACUGUACGUGCGUUGAUAGUACCAGAAGAGGAAGAGACGGCUAACUCUGUGCCAGCAGCCGCGGUAAUACAGAGGUCUCAAGCGUUGUUCGGAUUCAUUGGGCGUAAAGGGUGUGUAGGUGGCGCGCUAAGUCGGGUGUGAAAUUUCGGAGCUUAACUCCGAAACUGCAUUCGAUACUGGCGUGCUUGAGGACUGGAGAGGAGACUGGAAUUUCACGGUGUAGCA
rnacentral:rRNA from 1 species